UACGGGGGGGCAAGCGUUGUUCGGAAUUACUGGGCGUAAAGGGCUCGUAGGCGGCCAACUAAGUCAGACGUGAAAUCCCUCGGCUUAACCGGGGAACUGCGUCUGUAUACUGGAUGGCUUGAGUUUGGGAGAGGGAUGCGGAAGUUCCAGGUGUAGCGGUGAAAUGCGUAGAGUAUCUGGAGGAACACCGGUGGCGAAGGCGGCAUCCUGGACCGAGAUUGACGCUGACUGGCGCGAAAGCCAGGGGAGCAAACGGG
rnacentral:rRNA from 1 species